rnacentral:lncRNA from 1 species
ACAGGAAGAAACAACAGGAACACAUAUAGCUGGAAUGCAGAUGGGAUCUGUGCUACUUACGCUAGCCAUGGGAUGAUUAGAACAAGAUAAGAGACAUGAGGAAGACUUCUUCAAGGAGGUGCUCAAGCCAUGUUUUGGAAAAGAGAACUCAAGGUCUGGCAGGGAGAAAGGAGCAAGAGUAGACUUUGAGUCUUUGCUUCAGAUGCAGAUCAAGAUGUGGCAACCUGUUGUGGAGAACUGGGUCCCUUGAGCCUGUGCUGUCUCUUUUUUUCUGGUGGCUUUGUCAUUUGGAACAAUGCAUAAUGGGCUGGAGGCUGAGAAACUCUGAGCUGAGGGCAAGUAGAGCUGCAGCUGUCUGGCGCCACUGUAAUGCUGUCUCCUCCUCUGAGUGAGUUCAUCCUGGAAACAUUUUCUCCCAUAAGACAUGCACAGGUCUUACGUUUACAUGUUUCACUGAAAGAAAUUUGAUUCCACUGCUGGGAUGACAAGGAAGACUGAAGAAACCUAAUCCUAGGUGCUGCCACUGGG